rnacentral:rRNA from 1 species
CCUACGGGAGGCAGCAGUGAGGAAUAUUGGUCAAUGGACGAAAGUCUGAACCAGCCAAGCAGCGUGAAGGAAGACGGCUCUAUGAGUUGUAAACUUCUUUUGUAAGGGAGCAAAGGCCGGGACGGGACUUGGUGUGAGAGUAUCGGAAGAAUAAGGAUCGGCUAACUCCGUGCCAGCAGCCGCGGUAAUACGGAGGAUGCGAGCGUUAUCCGGAUUUAUUGGGUUAAAAGGGUGCGUAGGCGGAGGCAAAAGUUAGCGGUAAAAUCGCGGGGCUAAACUCCGCACCGCCUUUGAAACCGUGUGGCUUGAGUGCGGGAGGGGUAGGCGGAAUGCAUGGUGUAGCGGUGAAAUGCUUAGAGAUCACGCAGAACACCGAUGGCGAAGGCAGCUUACC